rnacentral:tRNA from 1 species
UGGGGUUGUGGCUCAGCGGUAGAGUGCUUGCCUAGCAUGUGCGAGGCCCUGGGUUUGAUCCUCAGCACCACAA